UACGUAGGGGGCAAGCGUUGUCCGGAUUUAUUGGGCGUAAAGAGCGUGUAGGCGGCCAUACAGGUCCGUUGUGAAAACUGGAGGCUUAACCUCCAGACGUCGAUGGAAACCGUAUGGCUAGAGUCCGGAAGAGGAGAGUGGAAUUCCUGGUGUAGCGGUGAAAUGCGCAGAUAUCAGGAAGAACACCCGUGGCGAAGGCGACUCUCUGGGACGGUACUGACGCUGAGACGCGAAAGCGUGGGGAGCGAACAGG
rnacentral:rRNA from 1 species